rnacentral:rRNA from 1 species
AUUGAACGCUGGCGGCAUGCUUUACACAUGCAAGUCGAACGGCAGCGCGGGCUUCGGCCUGGCGGCGAGUGGCGAACGGGUGAGUAAUACAUCGGAACGUGCCCAGUAGUGGGGGAUAGCUCGGCGAAAGCCGGAUUAAUACCGCAUACGACCUGAGGGUGAAAGCGGGGGAUCUUCGGACCUCGCGCUAUUGGAGCGGCCGAUGGCAGAUUAGCUAGUUGGUGGGGUAAAGGCCUACCAAGGCGACGAUCUGUAGCUGGUCUGAGAGGACGACCAGCCACACUGGGACUGAGACACGGCCCAGACUCCUACGGGAGGCAGCAGUGGGGAAUUUUGGACAAUGGGCGAAAGCCUGAUCCAGCAAUGCCGCGUGUGUGAUGAAGGCCUUCGGGUUGUAAAGCACUUUUGGCGGGGACGAAAAGGACUGUGCCAAUACCACGGUUCGAUGACGGUACCCGCAGAAUAAGCACCGGCUAACUACGUG